GGGGGCGAAGGGCUUUGACGGGGUGAAUGAGAUGAGUGAGGGCAUACCGAGGGUCCUGGUCACCUCGUAAAUCCGACCAUGAGAAAAAAACAUCCUGCAAAUACAGGAUACGCACUGGCUGCCUAAACUGAGGCAGUCCGUCUGCCCGGGUUUUAGCCCGACUCGGGAACAGGCGUCAUAAAGGGCUAAACCUUGUCAAUCUCCGCCUCAGGGAUUGGCAUUGGACUUUAGAGGCUCGCUCUAAUCCACCUGUCCCUUGGUGAGGAUUAGAGGAGACUAAUAAAGGGAAUAAGUAUGUAGUCCUCCUCAUUGAAGCAUUCCGGACGCGGGUUCGAUUCCCGCCGCCUCCAAUU
rnacentral:tmRNA from 1 species